rnacentral:rRNA from 1 species
GGGAUUAGCUAGUAGGUGGGGUAAUGGCUCACCUAGGCGACGAUCCCUAGCUGGUCUGAGAGGAUGACCAGCCACACUGGAACUGAGACACGGUCCAGACUCCUACGGGAGGCAGCAGUGGGGAAUAUUGCACAAUGGGCGCAAGCCUGAUGCAGCCAUGCCGCGUGUAUGAAGAAGGCCUUCGGGUUGUAAAGUACUUUCAGCGGGGAGGAAGGUGUUGUGGUUAAUAACCGCAGCAAUUGACGUUACCCGCAGAAGAAGCACCGGCUAACUCCGUGCCAGCAGCCGCGGUAAUACGGAGGGUGCAAGCGUUAAUCGGAAUUACUGGGCGUAAAGCGCACGCAGGCGGUCUGUCAAGUCGGAUGUGAAAUCCCCGGGCUCAACCUGGGAACUGCAUUCGAAACUGGCAGGCUAGAGUCUUGUAGAGGGGGGUAGAAUUCCAGGUGUAGCGGUGAAAUGCGUAGAGAUCUGGAGGAAUACCGGUGGCGAAGGCGGCCCCCUGGACAAAGACUGACGCUCAGGUGCGAA